rnacentral:rRNA from 1 species
AAGUGGGGGACCUUCGGGCCUCACGCCAUCAGAUGUACCCAGAUGAGAUUAGCUAGUAGGUGGGGUAAUGGCUCACCUAGGCUAUGAUCUCUAGCUGGUCUGAGAGGAUGACCAGCCACACUGGAACUGAGACACGGUCUAGACUCCUACGGGAGGCAGCAGUGGGGAAUAUUGCACAAUGGGCGCAAGCCUGAUGCAGCCAUGCCGCGUGUAUGAAGAAAGCCUUCGGGUUGUAAAGUACUUUCAGCAAGAAAGAAAGUAUUUUAGUUAAUAACUAAAAUAAUUGACGUUACUUGCAAAAGAAGCACCGGCUAACUCCGUGCCAGCAGCCGCGGUAAUACGGAGGGUGCGAGCGUUAAUCGGAAUUACUGGGCUUAAAGCGUACGUAGGCGGUUAAUUAAGUUAGAUGUGAAAUCCCCGAGCUUAACUUGGGAAUUGCAUUUAAAACUGGUUAGCUAGAGUCUUGUAGAGGGGGGUAGAAUUCUAGGUGUAGCGGUGAAAUGCGUAGAUAUCUAGAGGAAUACCAGUGGCGAAGGCGGCCCCCUGGACAAAGACUGACGCUCAGGUACGAAAGCGUGGGGAGCAAACAGGAUUAGAUACCCUGGUAGUCCACGCCGUAAACGAUGUCGACUUGGAGGUUGUGCCCUUGAGGUGUGGCUUCCGGAGCUAACGCGUUAAGUCGACCGCCUGGGGAGUACGGCCGCAAGGCUAAAACUCAAAUGAAUUGACGGGGGCCCGCACAAGCGGUGGAGCAUGUGGUUUAAUUCGAUGCAACGCGAAAAACCUUACCUACUCUUGACAUUCAGAGAAUUUGCUAGAGAUAGCUUAGUGCCUUCGGGAGCUUUGAAACAGGUGCUGCAUGGCUGUCGUCAGCUCGUGUUGUGAAAUGUUGGGUUAAGUCCCGCAACGAGCGCAACCCUUGUCCUUUGUUGCCAGCACGUAAAGGUGGGAACUCAAAGGAGACUGCCGGUGAUAAGCUGGAGGAAGGUGGGGAUGACGUCAAGUCAUCAUGGCCCUUACGAGUAGGGCUACACACGUGCUACAAUGGCAUAUACAAAGAGCAGCAAACUCGCGAGAGCAAGCGAACCUCAUAAAGUAUGUCGUAGUCCGGAUUGGAGUCUGCAACUCGACUCCAUGAAGUCGGAAUCGCUAGU